rnacentral:misc_RNA from 1 species
AGCAGCCGCGGUAAUUCCAGCUCCAAUAGCGUAUAUUAAAGUUGUUGCAGUUAAAAAGCUCGUAGUUGAAUUUCGGGGUUAGCAGGUCGGUCGUGCCAUCGGUAUGAACUGGUCUCGCUGAUCCCUCCCUCUUGACGAACUGUGAUGCCAUUAAUUUGGUGUCGCAGGGAAUCAGGACUGUUACUUUGAAAAAUUAGAGUGUUUAAAGCAGGCUCACGCUUGAAUACAUUAGCAUGGAAUAAUGAAAUAGGACGUUUGAUCCUAUUUUGUUGGCUUCUAGGAUUGACGUAAUGAUUAAUAGGGAUAGUUGGGGGCAUUAGUAUUCAAUUGUCAGAGGUGAAAUUCUUGGAUUUAUUGAAGACUAACUACUGCGAAAGCAUUUGCCAAGGAUGUUUUCAUUAAUCAAGAACGAAAGUUAGGGGAUCGAAGACGAUCAGAUACCGUCGUAGUCUUAACCAUAAACUAUGCCGAC